AGGAUGGGUGACCUCCCGG
rnacentral:snRNA from 1 species